rnacentral:miRNA from 1 species
UAUAUAUACACACACACACACACACACAUACAUAUAUAUGUCUAUAGACACGCAUAUAUACAUAUGUGUGUAUAUGUGUGUGUGUGUGUGUAUAUAUAUA